UGUUCAUUACAAACCGCACUAAAAAGGUUUAUAAACUAUUAUUAGUACCUUAAAGGCGUGUCUUCAAAAAAUU
rfam:Firmicutes bacterium CAG:582 genomic scaffold, scf32